UACGUAGGGUCCAAGCGUUAUCCGGAAUCACUGGGCGUAAAGCGUGCGUAGGCGGAUGUUUAAGUGCAAUGCGAAAUCCUGUGGCUCAACCAUAUGGACUGUAUUGCAUACUGGAUAUCUGGAGGAAUGCAGAGGCAAGUGGAAUUACCGGUGUAGCAGUGAAAUGCGUAGAGAUCGGUAGGAACACCAAUGGCGAAGGCAGCUUGCUGGGCAUUUUCUGACGCUAAGGCACGAAGCGUGGGGAGCGAACAGG
rnacentral:rRNA from 1 species